rnacentral:rRNA from 1 species
AGCUCCAGUAGCGUAUAUUAAAGUUGUUGCAGUUAAAAAGCUCGUAGUUGGAUUUCUGGUUUGGCGAACCUGACCCGCUCCCCCUGGGAGUGUGUGUCGGUCGUUUGCCUACCAUCCUUUCAGAGAACUUUAUCUGCCAUUCAUUUGGUUGGAUUGGCGAUCUGGAACUUUUACUUUGAAAAAAUUAGAGUGUUCAAAGCAGGCUUGCGCUAUGAAUACAUUAGCAUGGAAUAAUAAUUUAGGACUUCGGUACUAUUUUAUUGGUUGCGGAACUGAAGUAAUGAUUGACAGGGAUAGUUGGGGGUGCUAGUAUUCAGCGGCCAGAGGUGAAAUUCUUGGAUUCGCUGAAGACUAACUUAUGCGAAAGCAUUCACCAAGGAUGUCUUCUUUA